CGCGUAGGUGGUAAUGUAAGUCUGAGGUGGAAUCCCAGGGCUUAACCCUGGAACUGCCUUGGAAACUGCAUUACUUGAGUCAGUGAGGGGAGGGUAGAAUUCCUGGCGUAGCGGUGAAAUGCGUAGAUAUCAGGAGGAAGGCCUGUGGCGAAGGCGGCCCUCUGGUGCUGGACUGACACUGAGGCGCGAAAGCGUGGGGAGCAAACAGGAUUAGAUACCCUGGUAGUCCACGCCCUAAACGGUGGGCACUAGGUGUAGGGCUCGUAAGGGUUCUGUGCCGAAGGGAAACCAUUAAGUGCCCCGCCGUGGGGAGUACGGCCGCAAGGUUGAA
rnacentral:rRNA from 1 species